CACCGUUACAGUUGGGAAUAUUUUCUUCUGCUAUGGCAGUUUUCUAAAGUAAUGCCCGGUUAGCUCCUAACGCUAACUCUGACUGAAACCAGCGUUUAGCUAACGGUAGCUAGUUACCAUGAUGGGACAAAGCUAGCUGUUGGAUAGAUGUUUUAAUUUUGUCCUCUUUUGGUCAGAGCAGCGUGUCGCAGCAGGUUAGAGUACAGUUGUUGUACAAGGGAUUCAAACCUUGAUAUUUUAUACUAAUAUGUGGACUUGGUGUAUGAAUACAGGUGUCUUUACACAUAGAGACUAUUUAAACGGUUAUUAUUGGUUUUACGGAAGUGACGUCUUUGGUUCGUGAAGGUUUCCGGUUAUCUUUUGCACACAUUCAAAAACAUCGGCGUGAAGCCGUUUAUAUGGCGUCAAAUGAUGUGUAUAUGCUGCCUUUAUAUUGUUUAUAUAUUUUGUUUACAUUUUUGUAAAAUCACUUUUGUAAUUGAAUUUAAGCUGUGUUUGUUAUUUGUAUCUUUAUAGAUUGUUUUGUUUUGUAUGUUGCGGGACUUUUAUUUUGAAGCCUCGGUUCCGGGUCUCGUGCAGAUGCUGAUUUAGCGGGAGGGUUUUUAGUGAAGAAAGUUAGCGGUAAGCACGGACAUUAUGGAUGCUCUGAUAAAAGUUUAUUCUAGUCAUAAAAAGAACUUAAACUAUCAUAAAGAAGAUUUAAAGACUAUUUCCCUUUCUCACAGCAUGCAGCCAACGAGUUUUCACGGUGGAUUUGAGGAAAAGUCUUCAAAUAAAUCAGUAACAGGAGAUCCGUGUGUGUGUUGAUGGUCUUGGAGACGGUCAUGUCAUCAAUACACUUGUCGAUGUAGCCGGUCACUGAUGCCGUGUUCUCCUCCAAGUUGAUAGAGUCUCCGUUGGUUGCAGCCUCCCUGAACAUAUUCCAGUCAGUGAACUCAAAACAGUCCUGAAGAGCAGAGGUGACUCCUGCUGACCAGGUUUUCUACUGUUUCAGAACCGGUUUAGAGCGUCUGACCAGCGGUCUGUAUGCUGGAAUUAACAUAACAGAGAUGUUGUCACCAUUCUGUGUUGAUGUAAACACACACACCACCACCCCGAGUCUUACCGCACAGAGCUGCAUUUCUGUCGGCAAGAAACAAUGAGAGCCCGGCUAUCUGAAUGGCGGCGUCUGGAACUCUGUUGGUGAGCCACGCCUCUGUGAAAACAGACGCAGCAGUCUCUAAACUCUCGCCGUGUUUACUGGAGUCGGACGUGGUCUGGUUUAUUGUCCAUUGAGCAAACGUUGGACAGAAUAAUGGACGGGAGAGCCGGCCAGCUAGGUUUUGUUUUAGCCUAGCACGGACACCUGCCCGCUUUCCACACCUUCCGCCUUCCUCAAGCACCGCUUGCGACAUCCCCUCUCCUGGCCACCAGCAUCAGGUGACGCUGAGGUCUGAAGGCCUGGUCUUCACAGCAAGCCGAGGUUCAGAAGUUUUCUGAGUAAAUCAUCAUUAUGGAAGUGGCAUCUUUGGUCCUUGAACAUUUAUGCUGCAGUAAUGAAAUGGAGCAAAGACACAGCCGAGGAGACGAUCAAACAACAUGCUUCAGAUCUCCUUAAUCGUGCAGCAGUGAGAGAGAGAGGGAUUGGUGUUUAUUUAUUCAUUUUUAUCCACUGCAGUGUGAGGUAAUUAUCAGGUUUGUUUAUCACUUUCUCAAACACACACACACACUUACACUCUAUAUUAUUCCACUCCCUUCACAAUUUUCCCACAUUUCUUUUUAGACUGCUGCUACAACAAUAAAACACAAUGAUCUGUUUUUCUGUUAACUGUGUAUUGUGUUUACAUCCACAGCAUUUUACUAUUGCACUUUAUUCAUUACAAAACUGUGUAGUGGUCAGUGCUGCGCUGUCCCUGGUCAGUUAUUGUACUGUACUGUACUGUCUUGCACUGUUUACACACAUGCACUUUAUGUAGUACUGUGUAGGUCUGUGUAGUGAACUUAGUUCUGUGUUGUCUCCUGUAGUUGUGUGUUU